rnacentral:rRNA from 1 species
GACGAACGCUUGCGGCGUGCCUAAGAAAUGCAAGUCGAGCGAGAACCAACCUUCGGGUGAAGUUCUAGCGGCGAACGGUCGCGUAACACGUAAGCAACCUGCCCUAAAGUUGGGGAUAGCCCUCCGAAAGGAGGAUUAAUACCGAAUGUGGACAUAUUUUCGCAUGUUUAUAUGUCUAAAGCAGCGAUGCGCUUUAGGAUGGGCUUGCGGCCUAUCAGCUAGUUGGUGUGGGUAACGGCCUACCAAGGCGACGACGGGUAGCUGGUCUGAGAGGAUGGUCAGCCGGAUUGGGACUGAGACACGGCCCAGACUCCUACGGGGGGCAGCAAUUAGGAAUCUUGCGCAAUGGGCGAAAGCCUGACGCAGCGACGCCGCGUGACUGAUGAAGUCUUUCGGGAUGUAAAGGUCUUUUGCAGGGGACGAAGGAAGUGACGGUACCCUGCGAAUAAGCCCCGGCUAACUACGUGCCAGCAGCCGCGGUAAAAC